CUUGGAAGUCAAGGAGUCUCCAGAAACUGCCAGGCAGCCCACUGAGCUUCUGUGGAAUUUUUAGUUGUCCUUUUUAUGGACAAAACCAGCAACUUCCCUGGAGGUCCAGUGGUUAAGACUCUGCACUUCCACUGCUGGGUCCAGGGUUUGAUCUCUAGUCCGGGAACCAAGAUCCCAGACGUGCCUCGUGGCGAAGCCAAAAAAAGUACAAAAUCCAGGCCUGGAUCAGGAGAUGCCCCUGGGAUUCACUGGUGUUAGCAAGAUCUCCACCCGUAAGUUACCACCCCGCUGAGACUCUGCAGUAAAGCCCUCUCCUGGAGAACAUGAGAGAUGUCUGGGGCCAGCGACCCAGGCUUCAGUCCCAGCUCACAAGGAAGCAUCCUCCUGACCAGGCCCAUCUGUGAAAGACUGAAGGCAGGAAGAAGUUCCUCCAGGAGUCUGGCCAGAACCAGGACUUGACUCCCUCCUUUUAGUGUUAAAAGAAGCCUGAAUUCUAACUCAAGGAAGAUGGUUCAUGAGGACACAAGUCCGCCAUCUUCUCAGGCUGCUGGCUUUCUGAAUAAAGCAUUAUUCCUUGCCC
ensembl:lncRNA